AGAUUGAACGCUGGCGGCAUGCCUAACACAUGCAAGUCGAGCGGGCAGCGCGGGGGCGACCCUGGCGGCGAGCGGCGAACGGGUGAGUAAUGCAUCGGAACGUAUCCUUGAGUGGGGGGAUAACGCAGCGAAAGUUAGUUGCUAAUACCGACGAUAAAGCUCUGAGGAGGAAAGCGGGGGACCGAAAGGCCUCGCGCUGAAGGAGCGGCCGAUGUCCGGAUUAGCUAGUUGGUGAGGUAAAGGCUUACCAAGGCGACGAUCGGUAGCUGGUCUGAGA
rnacentral:rRNA from 1 species